CUGGUAGAAUGCCAGCGCCGUCCCCUCCACGCAGGGGCAAGAGUGGCACACGGAGUCUUCGUCCCACCUGAACCGCCCGCCCUCGUCCAGAGAGAAC
rnacentral:RNase_MRP_RNA from 1 species